CCUACGGGUGGCAGCAGUGAGGAAUAUUGGUCAAUGGGCGUAAGCCUGAACCAGCCAAGUCGCGUGAGGGAUGAAGGUUCUAUGGAUCGUAAACCUCUUUUAUAAGGGAAUAAAGUGUGGGACGUGUCCUGUUUUGUAUGUACCUUAUGAAUAAGGAACGGCUAACUCCGUGCCAGCAGCCGCGGUACUACGGAGGAUCCGAGCGUUAUCCGGAGUUCUUGGGUGUAAAGGGUGCGUAGGCGGCCUUUUAAGUCAGCGGUGAAAGUCUGUGGCUCAACCAUAGAAUUGCCGUUGAAACUGGGAGGUGUGAGGAUGUUUGAGGCAGGCGGAAUGCGUGGUGUAGCGGUGAAAUGCUUAGAUAUCACGCAGAACCCCGAGUGCGAAGGCAGCCUGCCAAGCCAUGACUGACGCUGAUGCACGAAAGCGUGGGGAUCAAACAGGAUUAGAUACCCUUGUAGUC
rnacentral:rRNA from 1 species